rnacentral:rRNA from 1 species
GAUGAACGCUGGCGGCGUGCCUAAUACAUGCAAGUCGAGCGAACAGACGAGGAGCUUGCUCCUCUGACGUUAGCGGCGGACGGGUGGGUAACACGUGGAUAACCUACCUAUAAGACUGGGAUAACUUCGGGAAACCGGAGCUAAUACCGGAUAAUAUAUUGAACCGCAUGGUUCAAUAGUGAAAGACGGUUUUGCUGUCACUUAUAGAUGGAUCCGCGCCGCAUUAGCUAGUUGGUAAGGUAACGGCUUACCAAGGCAACGAUGCGUAGCCGACCUGAGAGGGUGAUCGGCCACACUGGAACUGAGACACGGUCCAGACUCCUACGGGAGGCGGCAGUAGGGAAUCUUCCGCAAUGGGCGAGAGCCUGACGGAGCAACGCCGCGUGAGUGAUGAAGGUCUUCGGAUCGUAAAACUCUGUUAUUAGGGAAGAACAAAUGUGUAAGUAACUAUGCACGUCUUGACGGUACCUAAUCAGAAAGCCACGGCUAACUACGUG